rnacentral:lncRNA from 1 species
UUUAUGUCAACCUAUGGAGUAGAGUGAAAGACAAGAUCCAAUAACUCUAGACAGCUCCAUGCUUCUGGCCAGUAGCUCCUUGGCUGUCCUGCAUGGAGCUCGAUACUCCUUGAUCAGCCUUCCUUCUCCUCGCUUUCCUAAUCCUAUUCAUUGCACCCUGUCUUAGAAACUUCCUGCGUACAUUUCUUCAACAACUUCAAAAGAUUUUUAACCAGACCUUUAGUCAGUUGUUAGGACAGGAUUAUCAGCUCCUGGCUGGAGAGCCAGGUGCCUGAGACUCUUCACUGCCGGUGAAGAUCAAGCUUGCCCCAUGGACUUUGGUGCCCACCCCCCAUACAGUAGGAAGUAGUUUAAUGGUAUCAUCACCCUCUUUCUCAAUCCCUGAUUUCAGUUAUCAGUAGUAAACAGGAAUGUAGAGGGAAUUGGCCAAGGAAAGAAUAGCCUGCUCUUAACAUGACUCCAAGCCCAAGACCAGGGCCACGGAAAAAGCACCUCGGCCCUGGACUGUGUCUGAGCCCCAAGACUUGGGAAUCUCCAUCCCCCAUGAAUUCAGUGUUACCUGCCAAACAAUGUUGCAAAAUUGGUGGCCAAUAAGUACUUCCAGCUGUGCAUUCUCCACUAGCUCACACUGCACAUGCCCCACCAGCUCACACUGGAGAUGCCCCACCAGCUCCACUGGAGAUGCCCCACCAGCUCACAUUGCACAUGCCCCACCAGCUCACACUGCACAUGCCCCACCAGCUCACACUGCACAUGCCCCACCAGCUCACACUGCACAUGCCCCACCAGCUCACACUGCACAUGCCCCACCAGCUCACUACACAUGCCCCACCAGUUCACACUGCACAUGCCCCACCAGCUCACACUGCACAUGCCCUACCAGCUCACACUGCACAUGUCCCACCAGCUCACACUGCACAUGCCCCACCAGUUCACACUGCACAUGUCCUACCAGCUCACACUGCACAUGUCCCACCAGCUCACACUGCACAUGCUCCACUAACUCACUGCAUAUGCUCUAAAAACCCUAUAAAAGCCUUCCCAUUGCCCCACACUCUGCUGUCUCUCUUCCUGUUUAGAGGCAGCUGCUAUUCUAUUUUCUCCCCAAUAAAUCGCUUUUG